rnacentral:rRNA from 1 species
GAUGAACGCUGGCGGCGUGCCUAAUACAUGCAAGUCGAGCGAACGGACGAGAAGCUUGCUUCUCUGAUGUUAGCGGCGGACGGGUGAGUAACACGUGGAUAACCUACCUAUAAGACUGGGAUAACUUCGGGAAACCGGAGCUAAUACCGGAUAAAAUUUUGAACCGCAUGGUUCAAAAGUGAAAGACGGUCUUGCUGUCACUUAUAGAUGGAUCCGGGCUGCAUUAGCUAGUUGGUAAGGUAACGGCUUACCAAGGCAACGAUGCAUAGCCGACCUGAGAGGGUGAUCGGCCACACUGGAACUGAGACACGGUCCAGACUCCUACGGGAGGCAGCAGUAGGGAAUCUUCCGCAAUGGGCGAAAGCCUGCCGGAGCAACGCCGCGUGAGUGAUGAAGGUCUUCGGAUCGUAAAACUCUGUUAUUAGGGAAGAACAUAUGUGUAAGUAACUGUGCACAUCUUGACGGUACCUAAUCAGAAAGCCACGGCUAACUACGUG